GGAAAGAUGCCGGAGUGGUUGAACGGGGCGGUCUCGAAAACCGUUGAGCGUCAUUGGCGCUCCGAGAGUUCGAAUCUCUCUCUUUCCG
rnacentral:tRNA from 1 species